GAAUAGCCGCCGGAUAGAACGGGUGUCAUUGAUGUUGACAAUCAUGAGGGUUUCCUCGCUAUUUU
rnacentral:tRNA from 1 species